GUGGAUUGCACCAGAAGUAGUUAGUCUAACCGCAAGGGGGACGAUUACCAUGGUGUGGUUCAUGACUGGGGUGAAGUCGUAACAAGGUAGCCGUAGGUGAACCUGCAGAAGGAUCA
rnacentral:rRNA from 1 species